AUGUCAUUAUUUGGUACCAAGAGGAAGACUUUUUUUUUUUUCUAAAGGCAACAGUAAGAGGCUCCAAAGCACAGGGACUGUGACCCUGGGCUGUAGCCCACUCCUCACCUGGGGAGGGAGAAGUUCAGGCCCAGCUGGGUCCUCCCUCCAGCCCUCCCUUCCCCCCAGCCCCCACCCCUCACCUGUCACACUGAGUGAACUUAAAUCAAAGGAAGGGGGCUUCUGUCCAAAAUCCUCUGCCAGGCCUGGACUUGGUAGAGAAUUCUUCAAACCCUCAAAAUUCUUUUCUCCUUGCAAAUGGGGAAUCUUCAAGACCUCCACUUUCCUCACCCUAGACUUGAAUAAAAGACUCUCCCUAAAAUAGAGCAGGAGGCAACCUGGUGUCUGUCAAGUGAGCUGACCCCUGCUCCAGCCCUGACUCCUGACUUUCACAACUGUCAUCUAGCCGCAGGCACAGGGACUGGAAUGGGGAAGAGCUUAGACACUCGCCAUUUGGCCAAGCUGUACAUAAAUCUGUUUCCUUCAUCAAUGUGUGGUUCCUUAUCUCUCUUAAAAAUACAGGAGAACUGGGUGGUUGGUUUCUAGGACAAACUGCCCAAUGCCAGGUUUGUGCUAGAGCACAGGUUCUCAACCUGUGGGUCUCAACCCCUUUGGGGGUCCAAUGACUCUUUCACUGGGGUCAUACAUCAGCUAUUCUGCAUAGCAGAUAUUUACAUUAUUAUUCACAACUAUAGCAACAUUACAGUUAUGAAGUAGCAAUGAAAUAAUUUUAUGGUAGGAGUGUCACCACAGUGCAGCAUUAGGAAGGUUGAGAACCUUUGAUCUAGAGCCACAAAGGCCACUCUGCUCUCCUGUCAGCUGGACUCCUCUGCAUACAAGCAACAAGAAUCCAGUUCAAACUGGCUUGAAGUAAACCAGAGGCCUGCAGGCAUCCAAAAAAAUCUAGCUGUGCCUGUUCACACACAGGCAAAUCCAAAUGCUUCCAGGCUGACUGGCUCGUGUGCUUAGUCCCUGUUCUAGCUCUGCUGUGUGCCUGGGAAGGCUUCCUCCUCAGAGAUGCUAAAGGGAAAGAAGUGGGGUGGAGCACGUGGACAUUUGCAUCUUCAGUGAGUAACCACAUACUCAGGAUAUGCCUGGAAGGUGACAGUCCAGCUUGGCCAGUGUUGAGGGUGCUGAAGAAUUCAUGGCUGAGUAGAUACUAGCUGGGCGACACUGACUUCAAGAAGAGAGUCUGAGAUCCAGGCUAGCACAGGGCCCCAUGAUGUCAUCUUUGACCUAGGCCCCUCGGUGAUGUACUGUCCUAAGCCCCACUUCUCUUUCACAGGAUGGUGGCUCCAACUGUCUAGUCCUACAGAGUGUCUCCCUGGUACCACUGUCACCCUGUGUGUGUGAGAAGGGUGCCUCAUAUCUUACAUUUGCCUCAUUGGUCAAACAUUGCUAGAAGUGUCACCUCUCUAUGAUGGCAGCUGGACCUGUCUGGCUUCCUUUGGGGGACUGCUACUUUUCAUAAAUGAAUAAGAAAGAAAAGAGAUGGAUAUUAAGCAGGCAGCUGGCAGGUGGCUGUCAGGACUGAAAAUGGUAACAAAUGGGCUCAGAGGCUGGUGUGGUUCACUCCAUCCCUGGCUGAAGCCAUUGCUUUGGGGAUGAAGCAUCAUGGGUACAGUGGAAAUCCCCUUUGUCCAUCCAUUCUUUCCCAAUCUGGUCCCACAGCAGGCAACUGAACUUUGUGCUUGCUUCUGCGCUCCCCUGCCUCUGUCUCUGUCUUUGUCUCUGUCUCUGUCUCUGUCUCUGUCUCUGUCUCUCUUUCCCUGUUUCUCUCUGUCUCUCUGUCUCUGUCUGUGUCUCUCUCACUGUUUCUCUCUGUGUCUCUGUCUGUGUGUGUACAUGUAAACAGCAGGACCUCUGUUGUCUCUGCUUUGGAGUAAACCAAACCAGUUUGUUCUGAUUCACCUUCCCCAACUUACUGCUCAUCUCACUUUGAUUUAGGGACUGGUACUAAUACUCAAGAUACCCAUAUGCCGCUGUUCCAUAAAUGGUAUCAUUUAUUUGCCAAUUUGAGUUGCUUGGUGGUGGUAACAAGGGAUGCUGGGACACAUGUUCUGUGUCUGAUUUUCUUGAGAACCCUUCUGGGUGUUGUUCUGAGGAACAGAGUCACUGUGGUCAUAGCAUACACAUGUCACCUAUUUGCUUCCCAGUGGUUUUUUACAAUUCCUGAAGAUUUUGAAGCAGGGGCAUGACACAGACCAGGAAUUCCCAAACUGGAGUCCUGAGUUCUUAAGGUCAAAACUAUUUUUAAAGAAUGUAAGACAACCCCUGCCUUCUCAUUAUCUCUCUCUGAUGUCCAGUAGAACUUUCUAGGCAGAGUAUGUGUUGACUUCAUAGCUCUGGAAGCUAAAGGGACAUGCAUGGGUGUAUGCAUGUUCUUUAAAAGCCUCUUCGGCUGGGUGUGGUGACACAUCUGCAAUCCUAGCAUUUGAGAGGUUGAGGCAGGAAGAUUGCAAAUUUAAGGCCAGCCUGGACUGCCUAAGUACUACUGUCACCAAAAUAAUUUUUAUAAAGUCCAUUUUAGGGGUCAAUCAGGAUAGAUCAGCAGGUAAAGGUGAUUGCUGCCAAGCUGGACAAUCUAAUUUGGAUCCUGGGACCCACAUGGUAGAAGGAGAGAACUAACUCCCACAGGUUGUCCUGAUCUCAGUAUGUACACCAUGAUAUGUAUGCCCACACACACAAUACAUUUUUUUAAAUGAAAUUUAAAAUUAUUUUAAAAAAGUCUUUGCCAGGUGGUGAUACACGCCUUUAAUCCCAGCACUUAGGAGGGAGAGACAGGUAGAUCUCUGAGUUUGAGGCCAACCUGAUCUACAGAGUUAGUUCCAGGAUAGCCAAGGCUUCACAGAGAAUCCCUGUCUCAAAGGUAAAACAAAAGAAAACAAAGC
rnacentral:lncRNA from 1 species